AGAGUUUGAUCCUGGCUCAGGAUGAACGUUGGCGGCGCGCUUAAUGCAUGCAAGUCGAGCGAGGGAAUUUUCUUCGGAAAAUAUACCUAGCGGCAGACGGCUGAGUAACGCGUGAGUAAUCUGCCUUUAAGAGGGGAACAACUGUGAGAAAUUACAGCUAAUUCCGCGUAAUGUCUAAUGUCUCAAGAUAUUAGAAGAAAGGAUUAAGGUAACUUAAUUCGCUUUUAGAUGAGCUUGCGUCCUAUCAGGUAGUUGGUGGGGUAAUUGCCUACCAAGCCGAAGACGGGUAACUGGUGUGAGAGCACGAACAGUCAGAGGGGGACUGAGACACGGCCCCCACUCCUACGGGAGGCAGCAGCAGGGAAUCUUGCACAAUGGGCGAAAGCCUGAUGCAGCGACGCCGCGUGAGGGAUGAAGGCUUUAGAGUUGUAAACCUCUUUUCUUAGGGAAGAGCAAGGACGGUACCUAAGGAAUAAGUCACGGCUAACUACGUGCCAGCAGCCGCGGUAAUACGUAGGUGGCAAACGUUAUUCGGAAUUAUUGGGCGUAAAGGGUCCGUAGGCGGCUCAACUAGUCUCAUGUGAAAUCUCUUGGCUUAACCAAGAAAGGUCAUGAGAAACUGUUGGGCUAGAGAUCAUUAGAGGGAGAUGGAAUUCCAGGUGUAGUGGUGAAAUGCGUAGAUAUCUGGAGGAACACCAAUGGCGAAAGCAGUCUCCUAGGAUGUUUCUGACGCUCAGGGACGAAAGCGUGGGUAGCAAACCGGAUUAGAUACCCGGGUAGUCCACGCCCUAAACGAUGAAUGCUAGGUUUAUAGGGGCUUGCCCCCCGUGAGCCGGAGCUAACGCGUUAAGCAUUCCGCCUGGGGACUACGGCCGCAAGGCUAAAACUCAAAGGAAUUGACGGGGGCCCGCACAAGCGGUGGAGCAUGUGGUUUAAUUCGACGCAACGCGCAGAACCUUACCCGGCCUUGACAUCCUGAGAACGCCUGGGAAACCAGGCUGUGCCUCCGCAAGGAGGAACUCGGUGACAGGUGCUGCAUGGCUG
rnacentral:rRNA from 1 species